rnacentral:piRNA from 1 species
GNGAAAGGUAGCUUUUGAGAGGCCUCAACU